GCCGAUAUAGCUCAGUGGUAGAGCAACGGUUUUGUAAACCGUAGGUCGUCAGUUCAAGCCUGACUAUCGGCU
rnacentral:tRNA from 1 species